AGUGGAUGGGGAGCAACCUAUGUUGUGCGUGUGUAAAGGUAGUGCCAAGAAAAGCGAUGAUCAUGUUGAAAAUCAAUUCCCGGUACCCGAAACCGACACAGGUGGGCAAGUAGAGAAUACUAAGGGGCGCGAGGUAACUCUCUCCAAGGAACUCGGCAAAAUGACCCCGUAACUUAGGGAGAAGGGGUGCCACCGAGAGGUGGUCGCAGUGAAGAGGCCCAGGCGACUGUUUAGCAAAAACAUAGGUCUCUGCAAACUCGAAAGAGGAGGUAUAGGGGCUGACGCCUGCCCAGUGCCGGAAGGUUAAAGAAGUUGGUCAGUUUUAGGAUGAAGCUAGCGACUGAAGCCCCGGUGAACGGCGGCCGUAACUAUAACGGUCCUAAGGUAGCGAAAUUCCUUGUCGGGUAAGUUCCGACCCGCACGAAAGGCGUAACGAUCUGGGCGCUGUCUCGGAGAGAGGCUCGGCGAAAUAGGAUUGUCUGUGAAGAUACGGACUACCUGCGUUUGGACAGAAAGACCCUAUGAAGCUUUACUAUAGCUUGGAAUUGUGUUCGGGCUUCCUGUGCGCAGGAUAGGUGGGAGGCGUAGAAGGUAUUCUUGUGGGGAUACUGGAGCCAACGGUGAGAUACCACUCUCAGGAGGCUAGAAUUCUAACUUAAUUAAGGACAGUUUCAGGUGGGUAGUUUGACUGGGGCGGUCGCCUCCAAAAAGGUAACGGAGGCGUACAAAGGUUCCCUCAGACUGGUUGGAAAUCAGUCGAAGAGUGCAAAGGCAGAAGGGAGCUUGACUGCGAGAAGUACAGUUCGAGCAGGGUGGAAACACGGUCUUAGUGAUCCGACGGUGCUGUGUGGAAGGGCCGUCGCUCAACGGAUAAAAGUUACUCUAGGAUAACAGGCUGAUCUCCCCCAAGAGUUCACAUCGACGGGGAGGUUUGGCACCUCGAUGUCGGCUCAUCGCAACCUGGGGCGGAAGUACGUCCCAAGGUUUGGGCUGUUCGCCCAUUAAAGCGGUACGUGAGCUGGGUUCAGAACGUCGUGAGACAGUUCGGUCCAUAUCCGAUGUAGGCGUGAGAAUAUUGAGAGGAGCCUUCCUUAGUACGAGAGGACCGGGAAGGACGCACCGCUGGUGUACCUGUUAUGAUGCCAAUUGUAAACGCAGGGUAGCCAAGUGCGGAGAGGAUAACCGCUGAAAGCAUCUAAGUGGGAAGCCCACCUCAAGAUGAGUAUUCUGGUGUAAGGUCACGGGAAGACGACCCGUAAAUAGGCACGAGGUGAAAGUGCAGAGAUGUAUGAAGCCGAAGUGUACUAAUAGACCGUCGGCUUGAUC
rnacentral:rRNA from 1 species